AUCUGGGGUGUAGCAGGAGAAAAGUGCAGCACUAUUGGUCUGUGUAGUCACGUCCUCCUCAGUGCUGACCUCCUUCAUCCAGGAUUCACUUGCUGUCUCCCACCUCCUGAUCCAAGAAUCUUACAUCAUUUUUUCCAUCUCAUGGAGGGAUUUAUAACUGACAUUUGACCUUACAUUAACAUUGUUCUGCUCCAAUGUGGGAAGGACACCUUCCAGGUAGGGAGCAUCUCACUGAUUUACAAGGGAAAAUGAACUCAACAGGGAAUCCAGGGUACUAAUCUGUGUGAAUCAUGGGCCUGCAGGUAAGUUUGAGUACAGUAAGUAUCUGUGUGUGGUAGAAGACAAGUCUCUGAAGCCUGGUCUUGAUGUGCUGAAAAGGAUCCCAUGAGGUGGCAUGUGCCAGCAUCCCUGACACAGAGGGAAAGCUAUCAUUGACUUGCUCAACUGAAGAGCAAUGGGAGACUGAGAGACUGCAGAGGUGUGACAAGGGAGGAACCGUCUUCUCUGUUGUAGUUGGCCUCCAGAUCCGUUCUGACCAUCUGAUCCUGGCCUGUGAACAAAUACCGAUGCAUGUUAAAGUCUUUGGCCAGAUCUUCCCAGUGGAUGACAGUCAGCUUGUGCUGUCACUGACUUCUAGAACCCUGACCAUCUGGUGAGUCCCAAGUGCAGAGAACAAGAUCAGUCAGUUUGUUCAGGAAGAGAGAGGAAUUUUCAGUUUGUGGGUAUCACCCGGUGUCAGACUGUGUAUCUGCUGCAUAUCAAUGAAGGCAGAUUCUGUUGAAUUCUAGAAAUGAGAUAGGAAAAUUUCCUGAAUCCUCAUCUUAUUUUUAUUUUUUUUUUUUUGAGACUGGAUCUCACUGUAUGGCCCUUACUAUCUCAACACUCUCUGUGUAGAACAUGCAGCUCUCAACCUCACAGAGAGUGACCCCUUUCUCUGCCUCCUGGGUGCUGUGAUUACAGAUGUGGACUGCCAUGCCUGGCUUCAAGUACUGUAUGUAUAGCACCAAUGGUAAAUUCAUCAGACAUUUGAGGGAAAGGAGACAAGUUCUGUGCUUCUUUCAUCCUGACAGGGUCAGGGAUUGAACUGAAGGUUCUGUCAUCCAGGAUGGACUACAAACAGCAGCAAAGUCCGAAUCGACCCUUCAGAAUAGAAGUCUAUGUCCACCAGUGAACAGAUACCUGGAGGUGAGAACUGCUGUCAUGAAUUCUUCUGGGGACCCUGGUCAGUGGGCUGGAGGAGGUAUGCACUAGCUGACACAUCCUUGGGAACAAGGCACAGAGCAUGCAAAGGCUGCUCUCUAACCCUUUCCCAGGAUCCCCACCAGGCACACAUCCCAUGACUUCAACCUGACCAAUCAGGAGAGUCCAGAUUGGCUACCUGGUCUGAUUGAUUGAGUUCUUUCCAUUUGAGCCUUGAGAUCACAGCUGAGGACUCAAGGUGGGUCACUGAGACAGCUGGUGCCUGUCUUGGGAUGUUGAAAGCAGGGCUCUCACUAAAGGACACCAGUGGCAGAGGCAUUGCAUGAAGCCACAGAAUCUAGAUAGCAGCUUCCAGUUCUACUCAUCCGACAUCCAGGUACUGUAUGCUUGUCUGCUGACUUCUAUGUCUACUCUUGCUCAUGGGUCCCACAGUGUUUUUGUUACUUGUCAAAACCACUUUGGGUUGGAUUUAGGCCACUGAACUUUGUUCAUACUCACUGGCUAAUGGAGAACCCAGGGCUGCAGGUUUCUGGAUUCUGAACCAACUAGGACUCUGUGCACCCCACUCUAGACAGUGUGUGAUGGUAGAGGGGAUCAGCCCCUCCCAAGAACACUGUCAACAGUCCCAGGAAGACCAUUGUCCUAUUCCAUGUCCUGAGUGUUCUGUUGUUCAUGUUCUGACCCCUAUGACCUGCACAUUUUGCGUAUGAGAGAAAACAGUGAUCCUUGUCUUUUGGGACA